AGGAUUGCCGUGAUUUCUCUCACUGUGCUGUGCGACAAACGAGUGGUUAUUGUAGCCGAACAAAGACCCGGCUGCUCAGAGGAUGAGGCGUUUCAGUGGAUGAGUAAUGUACUACCGGCUGUUGAAACGAUACAUAAUAUUCAUGCGUAUGCGCUUGUUCUCAUGAUGCCCAACUCGAUGCCAAUGGUAUAGAGCUUGUUGUUGCUUUCUAUGGCUGCCUUCUUGAUGGUCUCGUUCCCGUUCCCGUGUGACCUCUAUCUCCAUUGAACAUCGCAACAAUAUUACCAACAGUCAAAUGAUCGUGGAAGUCAGCAAGUCAGUUGCCAUCCUAACAAUUCAACGUAUCACCAAACUGCUGUGGACAAAAGAGGCUACCAGCACACUUGACGUGAAGUCUCUCCCACCUAUUCUUGAGACGGACGAUCCACAGAAGAGGAAGCUUGACAAGUUUUAUUGUGCACCAACACCAGAGAUGAUUGCAUACUUGGAUUUCAGUGUUUCAACCACCGGUGUGCUCUCAGGAGUCAAAAUGUCUCAUCUAGCUUGUGACCUAUCACGGCGAGUCAGACGAGGAGGACACGAACUCGAAGGCAAAAAUUAGUGACGACAGCAAACUGGACAAUUCCGAAGUCUUAGGCCAGCGUGAGUCCGAUUCUCUCGUCUGGAUGUUUCAUGCAGUUCCAAUGCAUUUCAAGUGUCGAUGUCAUUGCUGAGGAAUGUACUCAUAAGGACCCGGAUACAGGCGGCUCCCGUUGUGUCAUUGGUCUCUUACGUGCGGGAGGGCGAUAACUCAGGCAGUGAGAGUGAAGAUGAAAUGGCGGGAAAAGUGUCCAACGACCAUCCCACAAGUCACAUUCUCUAUCCACUUCAAGAUGACAUCGAAGGUACAGCCCCGUUCAGUAGCGACUCUCCUCUCCCCCCAGGGGCACCAACCACCAACAACCCGACAAAAUCCCACCGUCCACCUCGCAUCAACCUACCACCGGCUCCUUCCAGACAAUGCAAACCCGAGUUAUAAUCCAAUUUAUUGAAAAAGCAAAGACAGAGAAACAUACGACUGAACGAGAGCGUACAGAAACGGAACGACUUCCGCAAUCCAAUUUUUUAUGAAAAACUUGUCAGUCAGGCUGUCGAGGUUGUUUGUCUGUCUGUAAGUUUGUUUGUCCGUCUGUCUGAACAUAUGCCUGAUGAUCACUACGUGGAUGGUGGACAAACAUCUCUAGACUCUAUACAAUAUAGAUUGGCUUUUGUGGUCUGUUAAACAGCCUUAGUUUGGACUGUAUAGAAAAAUUGUAUCCAAGUUAAGAUCCUCUUACAUUAGAUCUGCAAGACAAUCUCUCAUAUGUUUUUCACAAUCUGGUGCAACAAACAUUCCACUGUUUGAGUCAAGUUUACUAACUGCAACGAUGACUUCCUUUUCUUCUUUCUGUCUUUUGUUUACACACUGUUAGUUGUGUACUUAUAUA